AAUCGGAGCGAAGAAGGAAGAAAAGAAGCGAUGGCGGGGGCAGCGGCGUCUUGGAACACCCUAAGCCUGAGCGCCCCUCCGGCGGUGGCGGCAGCAGCGGUCCGGGGGGCGGUGUCUUGGAACCCCUUGGCUCUGAAAGCCCCUCCGGCGGUGGUGGCGGCGGUCCCGCCGCACCGCCACCACCCUUCCAUCUACCCCGCCUCCAUCGGCGCCCCCACGCCCCCUUUCCAGAAAGCCCCGAUCUUGAGGAGCGCAGGGCGGCCACCGCUUGUCGCGGUGCCCUUCCGGCUCCGGGCGAUGGCGGAC
rnacentral:lncRNA from 1 species